UCAUAGGCUUUACAGUGAUAUGAUUGGUUAAGGGAUUUGUGGCGCGAAACUGUUUCACUGCUUGAAGAGAAAACAAGAAGUUGAAACGUCAUUCUGCCUGCUGAAUCUAAAGGAGCAACGCUAGCUGUCACCAUACAUCAGACAUCAUAACGUCGUUUGAAGGACAAACUGGUGGAUCAAUUGAGAUGGAGGGGGAGAAGAGCCAGUAUGCACGGUUGAUGGAGUCUCUCAAGGAAAGGAGACAACUGACUGCUGAGGAGCUCCAGGUCAUCGGUGAGCAUCAACUACAGGAUCAUGAAGGGAUGGACACUGCAGAGGAGGAGAACCUGGAUAGCCAGCUACUGAGUGAAGAGGAUGUGGAAGAAGAGGAGGAGAGUGAUCUCCCAUCAUCCUCAGCUGGAUGGAGGGGGAGAAGAGCCAGUAUGCACGGUUGAUGGAGUCUCUCAGGGAAAAGAGACAACUGACAGUUGAGGAGCUCCAGGUCAUCGGUGAGCAUCAACUACAGGAUCAUGCAGGGGUGGACAUGGAGGAGUACCUGGAUAGCCAGCUACUGGGUGAAGAGGAUGUGGAAGAAGAGGAGUAGGAGGGGAGUGAUCUCCCAUCAUCCUCAGCUGAGUAACAAUGUUUGUGUUUGUGUGUGCGCACGCGCAUGCGCAACUGCGCAUGUGCACAAUUUUUAUCGUUACAAGGGCAUUACUUGUUAUAAUAAUGACAGUAAUGGUAAUAGUUUCAUUACAUUUACAUUUACAUUUCUACUAAUUAACAUUCUUAUGACAAUCUAUUUUGGGUUUGGUUAGCCAUUCCCUGACAGGCCCAUGUCAGGUAGAAAGCGUAGACGCUUGUUGCAGUGUUGUCUUCUUGCUCUUGUAGUUCUAGUAGUUACUGCUUGUUUGUUUUAGUGUUAUACCUGGGUUCCUAAAGAUUUAAUAUAAUUGAUCAAUUUUAAAAUAAAAUGAAAAAUAGU